AUCCUUUUGUAGUUUAUAAGUGUGAUGAUUGGGUAUUCACGCUGUUGUGUGACAAUAUGCCUCCCUCAAACCUGUUAUGACCUCGGCACUUAACCUGUCUGAUG
ensembl:snoRNA